AUUGAACGCUGGCGGCAGGCCUAACACAUGCAAGUCGAACGAGUGGCGGAAGGGUGAGUAAUGUCUGGGAAACUGCCCGAUGGAGGGGGAUAACUACUGGAAACGGUAGCUAAUACCGCAUACCAUCGGAUGUGCCCAGAUGGGAUUAGCUAGUAGAUGGGGUAAUGGCUCACCUAGGCGACGAUCCCUAGCUAGUCUGAGAGGAUGACCAGCCACACUGGUACUGAGACACGGUCCAGACGCCUACGGCAGGCAGCAGUGGGGAAUAUUGCACAAUGGGCGCAAGCCUGAUGAAGCCAUGCCGCGUGUAUAAAGAAGGCCUUCGGAUUGUAAAGUACUUUCAGCAAGGAGGCGUUACUCGCAGAAGGAGCACCGGCUAACUCCGUGCCAGCCGCCGCGGUAAUUC
rnacentral:rRNA from 1 species